GACGAACGCUGGCGGCGUGCCUAAUACAUGCAAGUAGAACGCACAGUUUAUACCGUAGCUUGCUACACCAUAGACUGUGAGUUGCGAACGGGUGAGUAACGCGUAGGUAACCUGCCUGGUAGCGGGGGAUAACUAUUGGAAACGAUAGCUAAUACCGCAUAAUAUUGAUUAUUGCAUGAUAAUUGAUUGAAAGAUGCUAUUGCAUCACUACCAGAUGGACCUGCGUUGUAUUAGCUAGUAGGUGAGGUAACGGCUCACCUAGGCGACGAUACAUAGCCGACCUGAGCGGGUGAUCGGCCACACUGGGACUGAGACACGGCCCAGACUCCUACGGGAGGCAGCAGUAGGGAAUCUUCGGCAAUGGACGAAAGUCUGACCGAGCAACGCCGCGUGAGUGAAGAAGGUUUUCGGAUCGUAAAGCUCUGUUGUAAGAGAAGAACGGGUGUGAGAGUGGAAAGUUCACACUGUGACGGUAUCUUACCAGAAAGGGACGGCUAACUACGUG
rnacentral:rRNA from 1 species